AUGGGCGCCCUGAGGUGUCAGGGAAGGCCCCGGCACCAGGGCCAGCAGGAGCUGCCCCCAGGGAGCCCACGCUUUCCCAGGCGCUUGCUGGGGGAGAGGGGGGUUUCCUCUCAGGGAGAGCAGCCAGGCUCUGUCCUCCCCAAGGAAACGCUGCCUGAGGGUUUCGCAGCCUUCGGCAUCGCUCCGGCUCUUGGGCAAGGAAAACCAAAGGCCGCGGCAGGGAAACGCGGAGGCGAGCGCUGUCCCCGGGGCCGGGUGCGGCCUCCUCCGCGGGGCCUGGCUGGCUGCCCGGGCCCGCGGACACGCUGGGCAGGGUGGGAGCCGCGCCCGCCCGCCGGCCGCUGCCUCCGGCCGAGGAAAGACUGGAGCCGCCAUUUCCUGCGGCCGAGCCGGGCCGGGCCGGGCCCCGCCGCCAUCCCGGGGCCGCCCCUCCCCCUCCACCAGGGGGCGCGGGCGGGCGAGGCCCCGGGGCUCCCGCCGCCGUCUUCCCGUCGGCCGCGGCAGAUGCCUGUUUGGCAACUCACUUCCGCUACGCGCGCCUCCUCUAUGGUUCUCCCUGCCCCCGCUGCCGGAAGCUCUUCCGGGUCGGCCGGUAACCGUGGCAACGGGGAGCUUCGCGCGGCCGGACGCCAUGGCGGAGCUGCAGGCCGAGCCGGUUUCUUCAUUGCCGGUGGCUACAGAACCUCCAAAAUCCCGCUCCCAAAAAGUCCUUUGAGAAAAUCUCUAAUAGGAUGAAUACAGUGAAGAGCGAUGAUAGGGCAGCAGAGAUACAAACCUGAUGAUCUUACUCCCAUUCCGGCGGGGUUUCCACUCCGGUGACUUCCUUAAAGGGCCAUUGUCAGAAAGAAAAAUCACAUUGCUGGAAGCGGGUUGUGCAAUCAAUCACUGGCCGGCGCGAAAGUGGUGGAUCAGAUGGAUUCCUUUCUGAAUUCAAUCAAAACACUUCAAAGAAGCGGGCAUGUCUCUUGACUGAG
rnacentral:lncRNA from 1 species